rnacentral:rRNA from 1 species
GGUGCUUGCAUCAUGAUUUACAUUUGAGUGAGUGGCGAACUGGUGAGUAACACGUGGGAAACCUGCCCAGAAGCGGGGGAUAACACCUGGAAACAGAUGCUAAUACCGCAUAACAACUUGGACCGCAUGGUCCGAGUUUGAAAGAUGGCUUCGGCUAUCACUUUUGGAUGGUCCCGCGGCGUAUUAGCUAGAUGGUGGGGUAACGGCUCACCAUGGCAAUGAUACGUAGCCGACCUGAGAGGGUAAUCGGCCACAUUGGGACUGAGACACGGCCCAAACUCCUACGGGAGGCAGCAGUAGGGAAUCUUCCACAAUGGACGAAAGUCUGAUGGAGCAACGCCGCGUGAGUGAAGAAGGGUUUCGGCUCGUAAAACUCUGUUGUUAAAGAAGAACAUAUCUGAGAGUAACUGUUCAGGUAUUGACGGUAUUUAACCAGAAAGCCACGGCUAACUACGUGCCAGCAGCCGCGGUAAUACGUAGGUGGCAAGCGUUGUCCGGAUUUAUUGGGCGUAAAGCGAGCGCAGGCGGUUUUUUAAGUCUGAUGUGAAAGCCUUCGGCUCAACCGAAGAAGUGCAUCGGAAACUGGGAAACUUGAGUGCAGAAGAGGACAGUGGAACUCCAUGUGUAGCGGUGAAAUGCGUAGAUAUAUGGAAGAACACCAGUGGCGAAGGCGGCUGUCUGGUCUGUAACUGACGCUGAGGCUCGAAAGUAUGGGUAGCAAACAGGAUUAGAUACCCUGGUAGUCCAUACCGUAAACGAUGAAUGCUAAGUGUUGGAAGGGUUUCCGCCCUUCAGUGCUGCAGCUAACGCAUUAAGCAUUCCGCCUGGGGAGUACGGCCGCAAGGCUGAAACUCAAAGGAAUUGACGGGGGCCCGCACAAGCGGUGGAGCAUGUGGUUUAAUUCGAAGCUACGCGAAGAACCUUACCAGGUCUUGACAUACUAUGCAAAUCUAAAAAAUUAAACAUUCCCUUCCGGGACUUGGAUACAAGUGGUUCAUUG